rnacentral:lncRNA from 1 species
CCUCAUGCCGGCUUUGAUUCUUGAAGCAAAACAUACAAAUUGAUUAUUGUGCACUUGUGGUUUAACCGUGGUCUCUAAGGUGAAACUUUGAGGUGAAUAUACACACAUCAAUUCUCUAUACAUACUCUCUCUCGCAUUUGGAUUCUCGGUGGUGUUCAUCCUUAUUAUGUUUCAUUAACCCCGAUAUGAUGUUUGUACUAUAUGGCACACAAGCAAACACUAUACUAUAUGAUGUUACAUUCUCGGUGGCAGAUCUCUUUAUUCAUACCAAACUCUAAAACAAAGAAGCAAACACUAUACUAUUGAAGUUGAACCUGGAAAUAAAUAUAAGAAAGAUUUCAAAAAGGAUCAUCUAACUGAUUUCACUUUGCCAUUGCUCUACUACCUGUU